UUGGUGCAACGGUGGAGGAUCCUGCGCCGACCCUUUAAGGCGAAAGAAGCCAAUAUUAACAGAUAUGUUGGUGCAUGUAUAGUGCUUCACAACUUUCUCCUUAAAGAGUCCGCCGUAUCCUCUGCCAUGUACUGUCCAGCUGGCUCCACUGACAGCGAAGAUUGGGAAGGGCGGCUAUCUCUCGGCAGCUGGAGGAACGAUGAUCCCACAGGCUCUGUGUUAACGGUGCAACGGCAUACAGGAUGCAACGCCACACGGUAUGCCAAGCUAGUUCGCGAAAAGCUGGCGCACCACUUUGUCACGGCAGGUGCAGUACCUUGGCAACACGCUGUGGUCACCGGCAUUAAUAACUGACACGAGAAGGCGCUUCCCCCGGCAUCGCUGUCAUUCGAGAGACACGAGUACACUUCAUGGAGCUCCUGCUGUGUUUCCAUACAACUGCAAUGCAAAAGAUGACACCACUGUAUUACCCAUGCAUUUUACUGUCUCAACAAAUGCAGUGCUCAUAAAAAACAAACCACGGUGACAAUAGUUAUGUUCACAGAACAAAUUUGUAAACAAAAUGUGGUCUUGUCAAACUGAUCACAGCUACUGCUAUAUUUAACUGUAGCUCAGUGAGGCCAUUACAUUUCAUCACAAAACAAACGUCAAACUAUACUGUCACUACAAUGUUGUAAACAGUUACAUGAUUGUCGAAAUGUAGCGGGCCUGCUCAAGCAGUCGUUACUCACUUGAAGGUCUGCACCAGACAGAGCAACUUCCCAAUAGGAGGAAGUGGGGUAGGGGUGGAGUGUUUUAUGCGCCGAUGAGGCAACACAUUUCCAUAAAGCAUGGGAGAGGGUGGUCUUCUGCUGACAAGAUGUGCUUUUGCCAUGGCGCCCGCUCUGUUGGCUAAUCUGCGGUAAUGGUAGUGUUGCUCUGUGAGGUCUGUAGUCAUGAAGCGUGAGCGUGUAUGUAAGAUGCGUGCGUGGGUGUGGUGUUGACUUUUUCUGUUCUCUGUCUGUGGAUCCACGACAACAUAUCCCACUCUUUCAUCCUGUUGGCCGCCUGAUCAGGUCUCAGGUGAGCGCACGCUAGUUGUCUUGUGGUCCAGAAAUUCGAAUGCAGGGAAGCGUGGCUGCCGAACAUUGCUGGAGGAUGUGACACGCUUGUGUUGGUGAUAGGCCAGGACCGUAUGCCCGACAUGCCACUUGCGCGUAGUUGAUGCGCCUCAGCUCAAGCUUACCUCCUACACGCACUGUGUUGCCUGUACAUGUGCCUUGUCACUGGUGCCACUUCAAUUGUCACCGGGAUCAUAUGGCGUUGGGCUACCGUUUGUAGUGGUAAAAGGGUGUUUUAAUUUCAAUAUCUUACUUUCUCGAGGAGCGAUGUGCGGGUUUAUGUGUUUUGCGGGCUCGCUUGGUGAACUAAGGUUGUACCUUACAAAUUCACUCACCUCUCUCCGCUCUCAUCAACCACAUACGUGAGGCCUGAAAAAGAUUUAAAAAAAAUUGUGUGUUACACAUACCUGCCCAUUCAAAUUCAUCUAUCACAACACACUGUAGCACAAUUAUCCUCCUUAACGCAUGACUGUCACUACUUGUUUUUUUUUCUUGUGCAAAUGUUUGUACAGUGUCACAGGAUCCUGUGGUGGUGCUCAGUUUCUUACCUCGUGUCAGCAUCUUCUGAGCUGCAGAGGACACUGGAAUAAAUGGAAAUAACAUGCUCGUUCACUUUUUCCUACUUGUGCUAAGUGCCCCGAGGUAGAAGUAUGAAAUGAUAAAAGCAUGUCUAGGUGUACAAUCGUACACAAACUUUGGCCACACCUUUUUGCUUCACCAUGCCGCACAGUUAGAUAGGGUCAAUUGGCACUAAAAGCAAUCUCAGAGACAUUCUAGACUACCAUAGCUACAACAUAGUGUGUAUCUAACAGCUGUUAGCAUUGCAGUUACGCAAGAAGCGUGCACUUGAAAGAACUGAUUGCACGGUUUCAUAUCAUGAAACUGGCUUCCCCUCACAGGAUAUACGGUACUGGUUACUACUUGUAAUGUUUCAACUGUCACUGAAUCAUUGUGGGCCUAUUGCUGUUGCUUGAAUAAACUUUCCUGUUCAACAUCGCUUGA